GACGAACGCUGGCGGCGUGCUUAACACAUGCAAGUCGAACGAAGUGGCGAACGGGUGAGUAACGCGUAAUCAACCUGCCCUUCAGAGGGGGACAACAGUUGGAAACGACUGCUAAUACCGCAUACUGAAGGAGGGGAUUGCGUCUGAUUAGCUAGUUGGCGGGGUAACGGCCCACCAAGGCGAUGUUCAGUAGCCUGUCUGAGAGGAUGAACGGCCAAAAUGGGACUGAGACACGGCCCAGGCGCCCACGGGAGGCAGCAGUGGGGAAUCAUCCGCAAUGGACGAAAGUCUGACGGAGCAACGCCGCGUGAGUGGUGACGGCCUUCGGGUUGUAAAGCUCUGUUAAGCGGGACGCGGUACCGGAAUAGAAAGCCACGGCUAACUACGUGCCAGCCGCCGCGGUAAUAC
rnacentral:rRNA from 1 species